UACGAACUGUGCGAACGUUAUUCGGAAUCACUGGGCUUACAGGGUGCGUAGGCGGCUCAACAAGUCAGGUGUGAAAGCCCCCCGGCUCAACCGGGGAACUGCGCUUGAAACUGUUAGGCUCGAGUCAGCUAGAGGUACACGGAACUUCCAGUGGAGCGGUGAAAUGUGUUGAUAUUGGAAGGAACACCGGAGGCGAAAGCGGUGUACUGGGGCUGGUCUGACGCUGAGGCACGAAAGCCAGGGAGCGAACGGGG
rnacentral:rRNA from 1 species